rnacentral:rRNA from 1 species
ACUCCUACGGGAGGCAGCAGUGGGGAAUAUUGCACAAUGGGCGCAAGCCUGAUGCAGCCAUGCCGCGUGUAUGAAGAAGGCCUUCGGGUUGUAAAGUACUUUCAGUCAGAUGAGGAAGGUGGAUGCGUUAAUAGCGUAUUCAUUUGACGUUAGCUGCAGUAAGAAGCACCGGCUAACUCCGUGCCAGCAGCCGCGGUAAUACGGAGGGUGCGAGCGUUAAUCGGAAUUAC